rnacentral:rRNA from 1 species
UACAGAGGUCCCGAGCGUUGUUCGGAUUUACUGGGCGUAAAGGGUGCGUAGGUGGUCGGGUAAGUCUCAUGUGAAAUCCCGCAGCUUAACUGCGGAACGGCAUGGGGUACUAUUCGGCUCGAGGAUUGGAGGGGGGACUGGAAUUCCCGGUGUAGCAGUGAAAUGCGUAGAUAUCGGGAGGAACACCAGUGGCGAAGGCGAGUCCCUGGACAAUUCCUGACGCUAAGGCACGAAAGCCAGGGGAGCAAACAGG